GCCUUGCCACGCCCGCUCAGAAACUUAAAGGAAUUGACGGGGGCCCGCACAAGCGGAGGAGCAUGUGGUUUAAUUCGAUGAUACGCGAGGAACCUUACCUGGGCUUAAAUGCUUAAUGACGUACUGGGAAACUGGUAUUUCUUCGGACAUUUUGCAAGGUGCUGCAUGGUUGUCGUCAGCUCGUGCCGUGAGGUGUCGGGUUAAGUCCCAUAACGAGCGCAACCCCUAUUGUAGUUGCCAUCAGGUCAUGCUGGGGACUCUAACAAAACUGCCCGCGUAAGCGUGGAGGAAGGUGGGGAUGACGUCAAAUCAGCACGGCCCUUACGUCCAGGGCUACACACGUGCUACAAUGGCCGGUACAGAGGGCAGCCACUUGGUGACAAGGAGCAAAUCUCAAAAGCCGGUCUCAGUUCGGAUCGGAGUCUGCAACUCGACUCCGUGAAGUUGGAUUCGCUAGUAAUCGUAGAUCAGCAAUGCUACGGUGAAUACGUUCCCGGGCCUU
rnacentral:rRNA from 1 species